rnacentral:rRNA from 1 species
GACGAACGCUGGCGGCGUGCUUAACACAUGCAAGUCGAACGGAAAGGCCCUGCUUUUGUGGGGUGCUCGAGUGGCGAACGGGGGAGUAACACGUGAGUAACCUGCCCUUGACUUUGGGAGAACUUCAGGGAACUGGGGCUAAUACAGGAUAGGAGCUCCUGCUGCAUGGUGGGGGUUGGAAAGUGUCGGCGGUUGGGGAUGGACUCGCGGCUUACGAGCUUGUUGGUGGGGUAGUUGCUGACCAAGGCUUUGACGGGUAGCCGGCAUGAGAGGGUGACCGGCCACAUUGGGACUGAGAUACGGACCAGACUCCUACGGGAGGCAGCAGGGGGGAAUAUUGCACAAUGGGCGGAAGCCUGAUGCAGCAACGCCGCGUGCGGGAUGACGGCCUUCGGGUUGUAAACCGCUUUCGCCUGUGACGAAGCGUGAGUGACGGUAAUGGGUAAAGAAGCACCGGCUAACUACGUG